AUUGAACGCUGGCGGCAGGCCUAACACAUGCAAGUCGCACGAGUGGCGGACGGGUGAGUAAUGUCUGGGAAACUGCCUGAUGGAGGGGGAUAACUACUGGAAACGGUAGCUAAUACCGCAUACCAUCGGAUGUGCCCAGAUGGGAUUAGCUAGUAGGUGGGGUAAAGGCUCACCUAGGAGACGAUCCCUAGCUGGUCUUAGAGGAUGACCAGCAACAAUGGAACGGAGACACGGUCAAGAAUGCUACGGCAGGGAGAAGUGGGGAAUAUUGCACAAUGGGAGCAAGCGUGAUGCAGCCAUGCCGCGUGUAUGAAGAAGGCCUGCGGGUUGUAAAGUACUUUCAGCGGGGAGGCGUUAACUGCAGAAGAAGGACCGGCUAACUGCGUGCCAGCAGCCGCGGUAAUAC
rnacentral:rRNA from 1 species